rnacentral:rRNA from 1 species
AAUGAACGCUAGCGGCAGGCCUAACACAUGCAAGUCGAGGGGUAGCAGGAUUAAGCUUGCUUAAUUGCUGACGACCGGCGCGCGGGUGCGUAACGCGUAUGCAACCUACCUUAUACUGGGGUAUAGCCCGGAGAAAUUCGGAUUAAUCCCCCAUAGUACUAAUGAAUCGCAUGGUUUAUUAGUUAAAGCAUUGCGGUAUAAGAUGGGCAUGCGACCUAUUAGCUAGAUGGUGAGGUAACGGCUCACCAUGGCUACGAUAGGUAGGGGGCCUGAGAGGGUGGUCCCCCACACUGGUACUGAGACACGGACCAGACUCCUACGGGAGGCAGCAGUGAGGAAUAUUGGUCAAUGGGCGCAAGCCUGAACCAGCCAUGCCGCGUGCAGGAAGAAUGCCCUAUGGGUUGUAAACUGCUUUUAUUUGGGAAUAAACCUCUUUACGUGUAGAGAGCUGAAGGUACCAAAUGAAUAAGCACCGGCUAACUCCGUGCCAGCCGCCGCAGUAA